GCGGAACGAAGGUCUGACCAAACAGCCGCGUUGCAUGUACCCCUCACAGCACGCAACACACGGUGAUCUCUCUCCAUCCACGCACUGGUUCCGUGGGACGCCCCGCUGCUGCCCUCAGAGCUCCCCCCAGCCUCCAGCCCUCCCUCCCCAUCGCUACCGGCCGCUAACACGUGUGCCUCGUCAGCGAGAGACGCUCUAAUUUAACAGCCAACAGCCUGCAGCCGAACGGCGCUACGGAAACCCGAUGUGAGGAUCAUUCGGAGGCUCCGAAGCGCUGAGUCAGCGGCGGAGCCCCAUCUCCGAGGCUCGGAUGCGUUUGUAACUCCCGCUGCUGCGUUUCGCUUACUGUUAUACCGAUUGGAUCGUGUAAUUAUUGUUUGUUUUCCAAAAAUGUAAUUACUUUCUUUCUUUUUUUUUUUUCCCUCUUUGUUUCCUUCGCAGCUUUCAGACUGCCUGAAUAAAGCGGCGUUUGGAGGGAGGGUGGAGGGGAGAAGGGAGUAAAAAAAACACCUAACGGGAGGGAAGGAGGUCUUCAGGCUUUAGCCAAAGAUGUUCUCUCUCGGGCACCUCUUGCUCCGAUGGUUUGAUACCGGCACGUGUGGAACAAAGCCUCGAGAGUAAGACCUAACUGGGGGCUACUGGGCAGUCCCUGUUUUGGGGGAUGCUUUUCCUCUCCCCGUAGAUCCGAAAGCGAAUUAAUAGUAAUAAUAAUAAUAAUUCCAAUGGUUACGCCGCUGACGGGUUAAGGGAAGGCUGCCCCCGGGACCCCCACGAAGCCGCACCGCCCGCGGCCCCCAGGCGCGACGCGGCGGAGACGGGCUGAGCCUCCCCCGACCCCCGGGGGCUGCGUCUCCGCACCCACCAAGGCUGCCAGGGAGUUGGAGGGGGGAAGGGAUGGUGCCGUCCUCCCCUCGGAGAGCCCCAUUUACCUCUCGGCUAAUGGAGGGUCCUGAAAGGGUGAAGCGCAGCUCCCCCCAGCCCCCCCUUCUCGUAAAUUACACCUGCUUGAGGCAGAGAGGGUAAAGCGCAGCUCUCACCGGCCCGGCAGCAGCGAAGGGGGGAUUCCUCCCCCUGGGGGGGGGGGUCCCGGCCCGGCCUCAGCCCCGGUGCGUGGCAAACAAUGCUCGGCAGCCAGCGCGUGUGCGAGAGGAGUAAUUGUGCUCCGGCGCUUAAAUAAAUCAUUGAUGGGUGAAAUUACACAUGCUCACUUAAAACGUAAUGUGAUUAAGAGAUUAGGGGAUCGCGGUUAAUGCGGUGCCUCGCAGCUUCUGGACCCGCUUCCCCACACCGGGAAUCCCGCAGCCCCAUUCGGC
rnacentral:lncRNA from 1 species